rnacentral:rRNA from 1 species
CCUUAACCUGGCCUUGACAUACUAAGAACUUUCCAGAGAUGGAUUGGUGCCUUCGGGAACUUAGAUACAGGUGCUGCAUGGCUGUCGUCAGCUCGUGUCGUGAGAUGUUGGGUUAAGUCCCGCAACGAGCGCAACCCUUUUCCUUAUUGCCAGCGGGUUAAGCCGGGAACUUUAAGGAUACUGCCAGUGACAAACUGGAGGAAGGCGGGGACGACGUCAAGUCAUCAUGGCCCUUACGGCCAGGGCUACACACGUGCUACAAUGGUCGGUACAAAGGGUUGCUACCUCGCGAGAGGAUGCUAAUCUCAAAAAGCCGAUCGUAGUCCGGAUCGCAGUCUGCAACUCGACUGCGUGAAGUCGGAAUCGCUAGUAAUCGCGGAUCAGAAUGCCGCGGUGAAUACGUUCCCGGGCCUUGUACACACCGCCCGUCACACCAUGGGAGUUUGUUGCACCAGAAGUAGGUAGUCUAACCGCAAGGAGGACGCUUACCACGGUGUGGCCGAUGACUGGGGUGAAGUCGUAACAAGGUAAGCGUAGAUGA